GGUGUCAUAGCUCAGUUGGUAGAGCAAAGGACUGAAAAUCCUUGUGUCCCCGGUUCGAUUCCUGGUGGCACCAC
rnacentral:tRNA from 1 species